UACGUGAGGGGCAAGCGUUGUCCGGAAUCAUUGGGCGUAAAGCGCGAUGUAGGCGGCUGAGUAAGUCUGGCUCUGAAAGCCCGGGGCUCAACCCCGGGAGGCGGGUGGAUACUGCUCAGCUCGAGUCCGGAAGAGGAGUGUGGAAUUCCUGGUGUAGCGGUGAAAUGCGCAGAUAUCAGGAGGAACACCAAUGGCGAAGGCAGCGACCUCUGGGACGGUACUGACGCUGAGACGCGGAAAGCGUGGGGAGCAAACAGG
rnacentral:rRNA from 1 species